AUUUAACUACCUGUGUUCUUGUAUUUGCAAAUAUUACCGAGCCUGUGCUUGUGAGCGUGUAUGUGUUGACUGUAUGUUAUUGUUUAUCAUAUUGCGCAUUCAAUUAAGAUAAUCAUCAGUGGAAAAUGUUAUAGAUGUAUUUGAGUUCGGUAUGGUAUUUGAAAUACAGCGUGACCUCAUUUAUUGCCAAAUCCUAUUAAGCUGUGCGAUUCUUCAAAAGGGAAUAUUGACUGUGGGAAAUUUUGAAGCUUAUGUGGUUGGCCAACUUUAUACAAUAUUUACAAAUGGCUAUAGAAUGCUGGUAACUUAAUCAGACAAAGCUUUCUAAGCAGAAUCACCCACUGCGUGUAGCUCACAUCUUUUUUAAGUAUUUAUAUGCAUGCAUAUAUCUGAAACCACUGCACAAAUUUAAGUGAUACGGUUGUAUAUGUGUAAGUGGGAAAAAAAAAUUUUUUUUUUUGCUUCCCUGCAUUACAUAGACACUUAUGACUCAUCUCUCAUUGUGAGUUUAUGUGCAGUUCUACAAGCUGUAAGUAGAAUUGCAGUAGCCUGUUCUAAUGAUUUAUUUUUUUUCAAGUGUCUUUGCAGAAUUUAAUUUAAAGAUAUGUGACUUGUAAACAAAACAAAUCUGAUUUUAGUAGUGUUUUUUUUUUUUUUUUUUUUUUUUUUUUUUUUGGUUUGUUUAUCUCUUCUCUCCCCCCCCUUAAAGUUGAUUUUUAGUUUUUCUUCUCAAAUCUCUUGGAGGAAAGGGACAGAGAAGAUGGCAGGUGGUAAUCUGUCUGCCUAAUAGUAUUACAAAGGGAUGUAUGCUCUUAGGGUCCUGUAUUAAUGAAAAGAUAAUAUUCUAGUUUGCUCUUUGUAUGCACCUAGCUGUCAUCUUUAAGCUAUACUUUGAAGUAAAUGCUAGCUUGGACCAAACUUGAUGUAUUCAGUCCUGUUUACCUUGAAUUAAUUCUAAAGAUAAAUAGUUAAAUUUCAAAUAGCAGUUGAUCUGUCUAUUUUGGAACUGGCAGUCUUUAAACCAUGAUAUUGGGAGAUGUUCUCGUAAAGUCUAACACCGUAAUACAGGAUUAAUUUAAUCGUGCUGCUAAAGCUUGCACACUCAUUGAAAGUCUGCAAGUGCCUAAAUACAAGAUGAUCGUGUUUAAAUUAUACAGUUUUACAAACUGAGUAUUUGGAUUGCACAGGUUCUUGGGUGGAGAUCUCAGUAGAUGACCUGGUGUAGCCCACUGUGCAUGUAUUAACUGAUAAGAUUAUUGGAAACUGCCAUAGUAAACGCAGAUUUAUAUAGUCCCCAUGCCAACUGUUAUUACUUACCCUGUAUUAUUUUUAUUAAACCUAUAUUUCUAUGUAACUUCCAUAAUUCUAUGCCUCGUUCCUCUAAACGGGCUACAUUUAGCCAGUAAAGCACCAUAUGGCAGAGAAAUAAAUGUAAAAUAUUCAGUCUUUCUAUGUCGUUCAGAGGGGCUUUAAACAUCUGCUAUCCUUCAUCUACUUUGUGCAGAAGCCUUUGUAUGCCAAAGUACAAUGGUUGUAAGAUAUAUGUAUAUCUAUCUCUAUAUCUCUUAUCCCCCAACAUAUACUCUUUGGAGGGUGGGGGGGGGGAGGUUGUGUAAAUGUUUCCGCUUUUAUUUUUUUUCUAUAGUGUGAAAUGUUAUGUCUUAAGAUUUUUUUAUUUUUUUUCCUUGCAACUAGGUGUCAAAUGUAGCAAAGCGAUGCAGAUUGCCUCUACAGCAGGGUUGCCCAAAAGGUGGAUCCCCAGAUGUUUUAAAACUACAGAUUCCAUGAUGCCUUGUCAUUCUAAAAAGGCACACAAAAGAAUCAUGGGUGGGAGUUGUAGUUCUUCAACAUCUUGGGAUCUACCCUUUGGGCACUUCUUCUCUACAGCAGUCUCCGUGAUAGUGGACUUCUACUUCCCUCCCCGAGCUCUGCCCCUACAUACAUGUAUACUUUAACUUAUAUGUUUUGUGUAAAAUCAUGAAAGGAACAUAAAGCACCAUAACCACAACAAAUAUAUUCAUGUCUUAUUGUGCUUACAAUGUCCAUAUAAGUUUGCCAUCUAGUUAUUCUUUCACAAAUCCUAUUUAUUUCUAUAUAAGAGCUUUGACACGUGAAAAUAGAAUUUUUUACCUCUCAGGAUUAAAAUGUUUUGGGGUUUUUUUUUCGUUUUUUUUUUUUUCAUUGGGAGUCUUAUUGAGAUGUGCAAAUUGCUCAUGUCUAUUGAUUACAAGGAGAACGAGGGGGCGGCGGCAAGAUCAUCUUUCUACCCUAUGUCUAAACAAGGGAGGGAAAUUAGAUUAUUAAAAAAAACCUAUAGGAAUGGUAGCGAGGAAAUUAUUUUAUGCAUUAUCUUCCCCCAUCCGGUUUCUCUGCCUCUUUUAAAUCCUUUUAAAUGUAACUUGGCCAUAUUAAUUGAGUACCAAUUUUAAUGCUGCUUGCAUUGUGCUUUCCAUGGCGAUUGAGGGAUGGCUUACACAUUUUAUCCAAUGUUGUCUUGACUGCUGUUUAAACGGUUUGUUACUUCUAGCUAUGUCAUUCUAGAACAAGUUGGAAAGUUAAUAUGCCAAACAUUCUUUUUUAUUAUAAAAAUGUUUUAACUCUUAAAGGGCUGUCAAGUAUGCCAUAUCAGUUACUCUUUUUCUCAAAGCAUUGGUUAUAUUACCAGUCUGUAAUUAAGUUGGGGGGAAAAAACCCUUUGUGAAUACAAACACACUUUGUAUGUAUGGAAUGUUACAGAAAAGUCUGUUACAUUACAUAUUGACUGUGUAAUGGGAUUCAGCAUUGUGAUGAGAAAAUAUGCCAGUGUAAUUUUAUUUUAUUUUUCUUCAUUGUAUUGUAAUAAGCACUAUUUGACGAUGCCGGAUUGUCUUUUAAGUACUACCUCUUAUCACUGCUUGUACUUUGUUGUCUGUCAAUUAAUUCAUCAUAUUUUAUAAUUUGUCUGUCUUCCAUUCUGAUCGCAUUUCUUCAUUGGACCAAUUUUGACAUGUGUCACAAUGCUUGUCUUUUGAAUUUUAUUUUAUAUUUUUACUAUGAGAUUACAAUUUCCUCAGUUUUUUUUAAAAUUUUUGUUGAUAAUAAAAUGCAUUAGCCUGUAUUAAAUAUCUUCAGUGAGAGCCGGAAGCUCUCCCAAGUAUUUCUGUUGACGUUUUCUACCUAGUUAUCAGUUUAUUGUAAAUACUAUUUUGAUUGGAGAACAAGUCACGGGUAAUGCAAUUUUAAACGGGAUCUAUGUUUAAAAUGAAAUUUAAAAAAUAAAGUUAAAAUCCACUGCCCUAGAUAAGAGGGGGAUUUCUUCCCCAAAAUAAUUUGUAAAAGCACUGCUUUGAUAUUAUAAAUUAGUCUCUUAGAAGAUGCUGAUUGGUGUGGAGUUUUGCAGUGCCUCUGAGAGUCUCCCAAUGGUUAUCUAUGGCAAAGCAUUGGAUUGGCUGAGAUCAUCCAGAUUGACUAUCUCAGCCAUGGAGGUCAGCCACCGCAAAGAAGUAAAGCAAGUAAAAUAUCUCUUCAUUGCAAUCUGAAGGGAACCGGUGCCUAAACUGCUACCCUAGCGCUAUAGUGUUAGAAUACAUGUUUGCAUUUGUAAUACUGUAGUGUUCCUUUAUAGCAACACCCCCAUGCACCAUAACCACAAUAGCUCACUAUAGUGGUUGUGUCAUUAGUGCCCUGACAGCCCCUGGGGUAAAAAAGAAAAAUUAAAACCAUUGCAAAAUUGUUUUUGACAAGUUGACAAGCUGGGGUGCUGCUUGCCACCUCUUCCAUCUGGAAGUCUCUUGCACUAAACUAAGACCUAUGGUACAGGGAGGUGUUCGUUGGAUGAGAACACUCAGCUGGCGAUCUCAGCCCAUGAGCCAUCCUGCACUGCAGAGUUUGGCUCUAGAAAACUAUUGUUAUUUGCAGGAGCUCCAUCUUAAGAGAAAGUGGGAACUUGAGUCCAAGAGACUCUCGGUAACUUGUGACUACUCCUGUCACGUAGCUGUUCCUGCGGGCUUCAGUUGUCAUGGUGCUUGGAGUGCCUCUUUAAGAACACAUUUAGCAUUCCCAUGCUCAAAACCGAAGGCCGCUACCAUGAGCAUUAGUAGACUUUGUCCCUAUGCAUAGACUGAUCUUGUUUCUAGCAAUCCUUUUUUUUUUUUUUUUUUUUUUAAACAUUUUUUAAUCAAUUUUAAGGAAAAGCAACUGAAUUUAUUUUAAAAAAGUAGAUUUUUUUUUAAAAUAAUUUUUAGGAUCUUUAAGCUAUUUUGAUCAGUUUUGCUUACUGUAGUAGAUCUCACUGAAGAUAUUUAUUUUUGCUACAGGUGUACAUUACAUUGAACAUGAUAUAUGUAAUGUUUCUACCCAAUAUGAGGGGGGGGGGAGAAAACCUUAUGUAUUGUCUUCAUUAUUGCCUUCAUUUUUUUGACUUGACAAUUUGUAUAAACUGUCAUUAUGUGCCAUAUUAUAUUUGAAAUCUUCA